CCCGUGGGUAAGGAAUCUGUUUUCAGUUAUAGUCUUUUGUAUUAAGACUGAGCCGCAUGCUCUUAUUUGCCAUCCCCUAACGCCCUUCUUUAUACAUGCACCACCAACCUAUAUUCUCGGUCCAUUAGGGGAUGACAUAAGUUUCUUUUAGAGGCAGCAAGGGACAAUGUUUUCAGUUAUAGUCCUUGUCUUAGGUUUUGCUAAAUGGGCUUCUUUACGAAAAUAAAAAAGAACUGGCCCUAGGGUUUCCAUCGCUUCAGUCUUAUCUGAGAAAGAGAGCGUGAUCCUUUGGGUUUCCACAAACAAUUGGAAGAGCGAUCAUCAGAAGAAGACAAAGAAGACGAGAGCGCCAAAGCUUCGUCGGGGCCUUCUAAUCUGAUGCUCGGCAUUAACUAUAAGAAGACAAGCUCACUCGAUCUCUAACGUCCUCUCCGCAACUACAUUGCUUUCACUUAGUCCGAGCGCCCAAGCUCAGCUUCUAGAAGACGAUCUAGAAACCCUAAUGAACUUCCCCUCUGAUAUAGAACGUGUUAGCGAUCCUCUCCCUCCGCCCGAAGAGACCUUCACAUCUCUUAUUACAAAACUCUCUGCCUUUUAGAGACACCAUUCCCAAUCUCCCCCGAGAAGCAUAACGUCAACGCUGUCUCUUUCCAAUGGCAACAGAGGAGGUGAUGGGUUUUUAUCAGAGGAAGAGAUAAGGGAUUGCAAUAAUGAAAUGCUUGAGACCGAUGAUAUGCAGCAGCUGCUGAGACUCUUUAGCAUAAGUGGUGGUGGUAGUGGUGGCCCGCAAACUCCAAUGAACAUGGGGGAAGAUGGGUUUGGGUUCCACUCUUUUGGUCAGUCUUCUUCAAUGGGUUUGGGUUCCACUAGCUUUUUCAUGUGUUAUCUUUAUCUAUGUCUUUAUACUAGAUGUUUGAGGUGUUUUAGUCCGGUUGUGGGUAUAACCAAACUGCAGUAGCAGAGAAUUUCUUAGAUUUCCAGUGGAAGACUACACAUGAGGUUACUAUGCUUGAUCAACAAAUGUUACUGUGGAAGAGAAUUUUGCAGAGGUUGAGCUUUGUUUGCUGCUCUUCAUGGGUGCGGUAUUGAGAGAAGAACCAUACUCUUCUUUCAAAAAAGAUUUCCGAACAUCCAAGUUCAGGAGUGCUCUCUUUUAUAGAUGAGACCAGUUUCCUCUUCUCAACAAUCUAAAAGGUAACAAGAUAUAAAAAUUGAGAGAAUCUUAAAUAUGUAUGUCUUAUAUGAUUCAAUACUUCUAAGCCUAAAACUACUCAAGAUCAGCUUCCAAAACAAAUUAAAAUAGAAAUAAUCUUCAAGUUCACUCAGAUUCUUGUACAAUCACCAUGUUUUCAUCCUUACUUUACCUAAUAUUUUUUAUUUGCUUCCAUUUGAUAUAUUUACAUCUUUACCUUUGAUUUCCUUAGUAAUCAGCCUUGGCAAGGCCUUUCGUACAGGUACCAAAAAUCUGAAUUAUGGCAAGAUCAGUGCAAUGAUAAGGCUUACACAUGUUGAGGUUCACUUUAAAUUAUUUCCACCUGAGUUCACAUCAUACUUUUUAUGUGUACUACAAUUGCAGUUUGAAGACGAACAAUAUUAUCCAUAACUAUAUAGGCUUUUCAAGGAUCUUUUUGUUUGACGGUUGUGAGAAAUCUAUAUUUUUGUAACUUUUCAUGUAGAUUAUGCUCGAAGAUUCUUUCAUUUAAAAUAAAACAAUUGUUUCCUUUUAUAUUUGCAGGUUAUUAGUUGCAUGGGUUUGAUUGAAAAGAACCUGAAGUUUCAUAUAUAUUAAGAGUUUUAUUUCAUUUAAUCUUCAAGAAAAUUUCAUCGCGAUCAUCUUUAUAUUCCAAUAGUUAGUCUUAAACCAGCUUUGAAUCCUUAUGUGCCAUAUGGGGAGAGACUAGAUAAACGUACAAGUAAACUUAUAAUUGUAUCACCCGCAUAUGCAAUAACUAUUAGCAUAUAUUGUGCCAAUAGUUAGUUAAUUUUAUUUCUUGGACUUUAUUGUAUGCAAAUAAAGUGUUGGCCAUUUAGUCCACCGUAAACGUUUGUCUCAGUUUAGCUUUUGGCGAUAAGUCAAUCCUUUAAUGUUUUUCAAAUUAAUUAUGAUUGGUAUCCAAAGCAUAGUUCAUCACAAUUUUACAAUACAAAUUUUCGAAAAUCAGUGACCACAACAAAAGAAAAAAUCACAAACACGACUUACAUACAUUCAUUA